rnacentral:rRNA from 1 species
GACAGAGGGGGCAAGCGUUGUCCGGAAUUACUGGGCGUACAGCGCACGCAGGCGGUGCUUUAAGUGUCGGGUGAAAGCCCCGCGCUCAACGCGGGGAGGCCUCGGCCGACUGGGGCACUGGAGGGUGUCAGAGGGUCGUGGAAUUGCCGGUGUAGUGGUGAAAUGCGUAGAGAUCGGCAGGAACACCAAGGGCGAAGGCAGCGACCUGGGGCAACCCUGACGCUCAGGUGCGACAGCGUGGGGAGCGAACCGG